GAUGAACGCUGGCGGCGUGCUUAAUACAUGCAAGUCGAGCGAAGCACUUUAACGGAAUUCUCCGGAAGGAAGGUAAAGUGACUGAGCGGCGGACGGGUGAGUAACGCGUGGGUAACCUGCCUUAUACAGGGGGAUAACAGUUAGAAAUGGCUGCUAAUACCGCAUAAGCGCACAGGGCCGCAUGGCCCGGUGUGAAAAACUCCGGUGGUAUAAGAUGGACCCGCGUCUGAUUAGCUGGUUGGUGGGGUAACGGCCCACCAAGGCGACGAUCAGUAGCCGGACUGAGAGGUUGAACGGCCACAUUGGGACUGAGACACGGCCCAG
rnacentral:rRNA from 1 species